AUUGAACGCUGGCGGCAGGCCUAACACAUGCAAGUCGAGCGAGUGGCGGACGGGUGAGUAAUGUAUGGGGAUCUGCCCGAUAGAGGGGGAUAACUACUGGAAACGGUGGCUAAUACCGCAUACUAUCGGAUGUACCCAUAUGGGAUUAGCUAGUAGGUGGGGUAAAGGCUCACCUAGGCGACGAUCCCUAGCUGGUCUGAGAGGAUGAUCAGCCACACGGGGACUGAGACACGGCCCAGACUCCUACGGGAGGCAGCAGUGGGGAAUAUUGCACAAUGGGCGCAAGCCUGAUGCAGCCAUGCCGCGUGUAUGAAGAAGGCCUUAGGGUUGUAAAGUACUUUCAGCGGGGAGGCGUUACCCGCAGAAGAAGCACCGGCUAACUCCGUGCCAGCAGCCGCGGUAAUAC
rnacentral:rRNA from 1 species